GUGCUUGCUUCAGCAGCACAUCCACUAAAACUCGAGCGAUACGGAGAUUAUCAUGUGCCCUGAGAAAGGCUGCCGUAUAAAUGCAUUCCACGUAUUU
rnacentral:snRNA from 1 species